CUAAUACUCACACAGCCACAGGUCUCUGCCAAACCUUCUACAGGAAAUACAAUUAUAUGGGGAACAGUCCUAUUACAAAUUAAAUGCCACUAAAACACAGGCAUUGAGGGUGGGAGCACCCAGCCACAUUAUUGACCAGUUGAAAGCCGCUUUCCUGUUGGACUGGAGAGAGGGUUCUCACCUUCCUGGGACUGCGAAUACCUAAGGAUCCGAUGGGUCUCCGAGACCUUAACUAUGGGAAAUUGAGUGAGAUUGAAGAUACUCUGAGGAGAUCGGGUGACAAGUACCUGUGGCAGUGAAGAUGGUGUUGCUACCAAAAUUCCACUCUCAAAGUAGAAC